GAUCCCAUCCCGAACUCAGAAGUGAAACGCGUCAUCGCCGAUGAUAGUGUGGGGCCUCCCCAUGUGAAAGUAGGUCAAUGCCAGCG
rnacentral:rRNA from 1 species